CAGAGUUGCAGGUACAGGAUAGAUCGGGAAGUCGGCUAGAGUGAAGUUAAGUCAUGUAUGUUGUAAUAGAUAGUAGUGGACAUGAAUAUGAUGUAAUGAGUAAUUAUGACCAUGUAAUGUAAUGAAUAAAUUGAUGAUGUAUUGAGGAUUAUAGUAGUGCUUGACCUAGAGGUGUGUGAAUCCCCAUUAUGUACAGAGUGUUUAAUGAGUAAUGAUGUUAAUGACCAUGAUUAUCCAAGCUGAUAUGUAUGAUGAUGAUACCCCAUUGGAGUAUUUGAUGAGGACUCCAGUGUGGGGUUUAUGUAUGAUUUUG
rnacentral:lncRNA from 1 species